rnacentral:ncRNA from 1 species
UUAAAGUUUUUUUAGCUUUAAAUUUUUAUAAAAUUUUAUUUUAGAUGUAAAUUUUAGUAUAAUUAAUUUAAAAUUUAGAUAAUUAUGGAUUAAGAUAAAAAUUACAAUAAUUAAAUUUAGUAUAUUCAAGAGAUUGAGAUUUAGUAAUUAUUUUUAGUAUAAACUAAUUUUGUGCCAGCAGUUGCGGUUAUACAAAAUAUGCAAUAAAAGUUUAUUUGGUAUUAGUUAGUUGAAUAUUUGGAAUUUAUAAAUAAAUUUAUUAAGUGAAAUUUUAAAUUUUUAUAAAUUUUUUUAAGUUGAUUAGUCUAGAAAAUUUUAUAUAAAACUAGGAUUAGAUACCCUAUUAUAAAAAAGUAUUUUUUAUACUUAAUUAGUAUUAGUUUAUUCUUGAAAAUUAAAAAUUUUGGCAGUAUUUUAGUCUAUUUAGAGGAAUCUGUCCUAUAAUUGAUAUUCCACGAUUUAAUUUACUUAUUUUUUUAGUUUGUAUAUCGCCGUAGGUUGAAUAUUUUAAAUGAAUUUAAAUAUUCAAAGUUUUUAGUAAAAAUAAAUCAGGUCAAGAUAUAGCUUAUAUUUAAGUAGAGAUGGAUUACAUUAUUAUUAUAUUUAGAAGUUUUAUUGUGAAUAAAAUUAAAAUUGGAUUUAAUAGUAAUUUUUUAUAGAUUUUAAAAAUGACCUUAGCUCUAGAAUGUGUACAUAUUGCCCGUCGCUUUCACUCUAAAGUGGAAUAAGUCGUAACAUAGUAGAAGUACUGGAAAGUGUUUCUAGAAAUUC